rnacentral:rRNA from 1 species
GACGAACGCUGGCGGCGUGCUUAACACAUGCAAGUCGAACGCUGAACCCGCUUCGGUGGGGGAUGAGUGGCGAACGGGUGAGUAACACGUGGGCAACCUGCCCCCGGCUCUGGGAUAACUCCAAGAAAUUGGGGCUAAUACCGGAUGUGACCGCUGGCCGCAUGGUCUGGUGGUGGAAAGGGUUUCCGGCUGGGGAUGGGCCCGCGGCCUAUCAGCUUGUUGGUGGGGUAGUGGCCUACCAAGGCGACGACGGGUAGCCGGCCUGAGAGGGUGACUGGCCACACUGGGACUGAGACACGGCCCAGACUCCUACGGGAGGCAGCAGUGGGGAAUAUUGCGCAAUGGGCGGAAGCCUGACGCAGCGACGCCGCGUGGGGGAUGACGGCCUUCGGGUUGUAAACCUCUUUCAGCAGGGACGAAGCGCAAGUGACGGUACCUGCAGAAGAAGCACCGGCCAACUACGUG